AUUGAACGCUGGCGGCAUGCUUUACACAUGCAAGUCGGACGGCAGCAUAAAAGAGCUUGCUCUUUUGAUGGCGAGUGGCGAACGGGUGAGUAAUGCAUCGGAACGUACCGAGUAGUGGGGGAUAACUGUCCGAAAGGAUGGCUAAUACCGCAUAUUCUCUGAGGAGGAAAGCAGGGGACCUUAGGGCCUUGCGCUAUUUGAGCGGCCGAUGUCUGAUUAGCUAGUUGGUGGGGUAAGAGCCCACCAAGGCGACGAUCAGUAGCGGGUCUGAGAGGAUGAUCCGCCACACUGGGACUGAGACACGGCCCAGACUCCUACGGGAGGCAGCAGUGGGGAAUUUUGGACAAUGGGCGCAAGCCUGAUCCAGCCAUGCCGCGUGUAUGAAGAAGGCCUUCGGGUUGUAAAGUACUUUUGUCAGGGAAGAAAAGCCUGAGGAUAACACCCUCAGGUCAUGACGGUACCUGAAGAAUAAGCACCGGCUAACUACGUGCCAGCAGCCGCGGUAAUACGUAGGGUGCGAGCGUUAAUCGGAAUUACUGGGCGUAAGGCGAGCGCAGACGGUUAUUUAAGCAAGAUGUGAAAGCCCCGGGCUCAACCUGGGAACUGCGUUUUGAACUGGGUAACUAGAGUGUGUCAGAGGGGGGUAGAAUUCCACGUGUAGCAGUGAAAUGCGUAGAGAUGUGGAGGAAUACCGAUGGCGAAGGCGGCCCCCUGGGAUAACACUGACGUUCAUGCUCGAAAGCGUGGGUAGCAAACAGG
rnacentral:rRNA from 1 species